UCUGCCCCCUCUCUGUCUGCGCGAGGGAACGGACCGGAGGCGCAUGCAGCUGCAGCUCCAUCUAUAUCUUCAGCUGGCCCGCUUCACCGUGCCUGACCCUGUUCACACGAGGACAAGUGAAGCAUCCACCCGCGGCACUCAUUCUGUCCUCCGGACCCUUUAGCGCACUGCAAGGACACUAAAGCCGUUUUUGGACAAACUUUCAACUUGGUGCGCUUUUCCAGUUACGCGCCGCAUCCCGCGGGUCCGGACCGGGUGACUCAUCCGUCACUUUCCGUCAUCAGUCCAUCACGGACUGUUCGGCUGCGCCAUGUCUCCUUCUAUCCACCGGUCACUGCUGUAACCGGGACAGGGACCUCCACUUUGACCAUCCUGUCCUCUAUCACAGUCCAACUCGAGUCUUUAAACCUGUACAUGCAGAAUGCGCGAUUUUGCGGUUUUCCCUCGUGCUUGUCCCGCGUUAUACCUGAUGUUACGCAGCAGGUACUCAACCAGCCGUGUAGCCCUAGACUAGACUAUAUCACGCGCCUGUUGUUGUUGUUGUUGUUGUUGUUGUUUUGUCCUAUUCAGGUAGCGUGUUUCACCUGGCAAAAUGGCAAAAGCAUUCAUUCCAUCAGAAAUGUCGCGUCCAGCGUUCCUGCGCAUUAGACACAGCAUAUCAUCGACUGUAUGCAUGCAUGUUCGCUGUAUUUAUGCGUUUAUAUUCGUGCCUUUACUACGAGGACAUUUAUAAUUUACGGUGAGUAGGAAAGGGAAAAAUCAGGUGAGGAUGCUGACGUCUAAAACCGCACUACUAUACUAUUAUAUCAUGUAUUGUAGGACAUUUGUUGACGUAUUUUAAAUGUUUGUCUAUUUACGAUUUAUUAUAGCAAGCUAUUUGGCAAUCUUGUUCAGUGUGGUAGUGUGCUUUUUCGGACAUGGCCAUUUGUGUGUGUGUGUGUGUGUGUGUGUGUGUGUGUGUCUGUGAUCAGUCUCGUUUCUCUGUCCAUGUGGACCAUCAGAAGGCGUUGUAAUACCAAACUCCACCGCUAGGGGUGUUACAGCGCAUGUUCAGGUGAAUUAACAUCAUCUGGUUUGAGGCAGCGGCGCGUCCAGGUUUGUAGACAUGGGACAAGAGAGCAUUAAGGAGUGGCACCAAGCAAUAAUCUAGCUAUAGGGCAACGUUGUAUUUGUAGCAGUAUUUAAGGCUACUGAUAAGAAGGUUGUGAGUUCAAAUCCCAGCAUCACCAUCUGCCACUGUUGGUUGCUUGAGCAAGACCUUUCACCGUCAGCAUCUUAGUUGUAUACUGUCUCUUCAAAACAUAAUAAUAAUGAUCAUAAUAAUCAUUUAAAAGGCAGGAGAACAGUGGAGAACAGUGUCAGCUAAAUGAGCUCUCAAAUCUAAAGCUUUACUAUAAGAUCUAUUUACAGUCCAUUUUAAAGGUGCAGCAUAUCUAGGUUUUCAGGUGAAAGACAAAUAUUAAAGGUACAAAAUGUACUCUUGAGGAUCAUCAUCAUCUUCAUCAUCAUAGAGGCAGGAAAAGCAUAGUUUAGUAUUAUUAUUUUUUGAGUGUGUUGGUGCAAUGAAUGGCAACAUAAUGGCUACUGUAUUGGCUCCAUAAUAUCAGUAUAGUUCGUAAUACUUGUCUAUAUGAAUUGUAUAGGAGAUUUGAGGUCAGUGUUAGGGUGGUAACUGAUAACCGGUGUGGCAAAGCUUAUUUCAGGUGCGAGACCAGUGUGACCAGGAAGGAUAAAUCCACUGCAGGGUAGUGUCUUCAAGGGUAAUGUCCUUCAUUCAUAUAUGUCUCGUCUUCAUUUGGUAAAACACACUCCUUUUAGGCCUGUCGUGAAAUGAGACAUCUUUGUGUAUGUCAUAGCAGGUUUACAAAGGCUAAUAAAAACAUCUGGAUAGUUUGGAUAAAUUAUGUGUGUAAGUAAAUGUCUGACUAUAUGUGUUUGCAUGUCUCUCUCUCUCUCUCGCUCUCUCUCUCUCUCUCUCUCUCUCUCUCUCUCUCUCUCUCUCAUAGUCUCAGUUUUGC
ensembl:lncRNA